AUUGACACGUAAGUGAGAUAUACAUUUUCGAGACCACGGGUUGUUUCACGGUGUUGGUUGAAAGGCUGGGCAAAGUGUGGGUAGGAAUGGAACAGGACAGAAGAUGGAAAUCUUCCCACAUCUGCAGCACUUUUUCUGUAGCCAGCACGACACAAAUGAUCCCUCCGUUGCUGGGGACACGUGACCCAUACGUGGAGUCACAACCAGUAAGCGUGUUCUCUCCUCUUGUGUUCCCCCAGCCCAACAGGUACAUUCUGUGACCCGGAACAGUAGCUGUAAUAAACGGGUACGUGGAAGACGACAGCCCACUUCGAGGAAUUCAAGGCGUACGUUAAGACCAAGGAUGAGGUAUAGGUCGUUCCAUUCUCAUUAAUCUUAUUCAUUCCCCCAAUAAGGUGGAUACAUGAGUUGAUGGCAACCAUUGCGUGUCUCUCUUGACCUUCGGGAGGGAGGUCCAGCAUGACUUGCUACUGAUUGUCACCUGAGUUGUAGACUGCGAAGAACAUGCUGCCACUACUGAGAUACAUUCUAUUUUGUCAAGUGCAGCUCACAAAAUUUAGUCCUGUAUUUAGAGGAAAAAAUGCUUAAGUAUAGCAUUUCACUAUCAGCGUCCGAGUAAUCCCAACGGUCGCUCAUUCUCUCUCUCUGGUGUUUACGACUGGCAACUUUGUGAAUGGUGUACUAGCGUGACGUAGUACACUGUUAACGAAGCUUCCUGUGUACUAGUGAUAAGUCUUCAAACUAAGGUUUUAUUUCAAGUUUUCACAAUGUACAUUUGCAUGAAAUAAAGAAAUAUUUAUUAUAUUUGCAGUUCUCUUGAAAAUGUUUUCCAGUUCUGCAUCACUUUACUAACUGCACUAUUUCAUUCAUAUUUGACACAGCUAUAUGCCCUAAAAGUAUCAUUUUACCUCACAAAAUCUAUCAGACACAUUAAUUCUUGAAUGUUAGUCGUAGUAUUUUCGUUUGUUCACUUUAUAACAACAUUCUACCAUUUAUUUUAUUGUAUUUCCCUUCCAGAUGAUAUAAAGUGUAACUGAACACCACAACAAUUUAUGAGGGCAUUGAUCACGAGUAUAAUACUUAACAUGAAGCACAGGAGCGUUGAGAAAUAGUUGCUUCAUAUAUUUCUGUCAUUUAAUUGAAACUUUUUUUGCAGAGUCACUUUUUAAAUAUUUCUCAGAAAAAGCUUUCAAAAAGGGUAAAGUUACGGGAUAGGUACAAGAGGGGGGUUUCGGCAGAAUCCAAGUCAGUUUUAACUUCCCGGAAAAGUAGAUGAACCUGAGACUCACAAUAAAGUACCAGGGCUUAGGCCUGUUCAGGUUUUUUAAUUUUUAUUUUUAGACAUUGAUAAAUAUGAUGUGUAUUUUUUAUAUGGAUGUUUUGUACAAUACAAUAAUUCUAAAUAUUUCUUAUAUAUAUACAAGAAAUGCAAAUACAAAAAGCAUCUGGAAUUUGUUAAAUUACGUGCGGCGAGCUGCCGUCAUUUAUGGUUAAAUAUUUAAUUCAAUGUGAACAAAUAUAAGUUGCUAUUUAAAUUAUAGUUUUCAAAACCCGCAAUACCAUUAGGCAUUCGCCUGUCACAGCUGUUAAGGUAUAUGGUCAUAGGAAGCGAAGAAAUGAUUUAUAUGUGUUCAGAUUCAACGAACUGUUAGAAGAAGUUUCUAGAAUGCCUAUUUUGCUUUUACUUUCAGUUUCUGUUUGUGUGUGGGUUUUUCUUUUCUCUCUUAAUAUUCGUAAUAAAAUAUUCUUGCCGCUUUUAAA
rnacentral:lncRNA from 1 species